GGUUAGUUCUAAGGCAGUAAGUUAUCUCAAUUGAUUGUUCACUGUCAGAUACAGAUUGAAAUCCUUGUUCUACUCUCUCUUCCCUUCUCACACUGCACUUGAUUAGUCCGUG
rnacentral:Y_RNA from 1 species